GCAGCCACAUGUAUGUUUAGCAAAAAUGGUGCCUUCUGCCUUGUUCGUACUAGCAUGCCUGUCUACCGAGAUUAUUUUCUUUUGUGUGUGUCCAAGAAACUCUUAUUAACAGGCAAGGAAAUAUAGAAAUCCCAGUUGGCAUUUCGUGAGUUGGAGAACUGAUGCUGCAAACGAGCACAAGAAUAUACCUGUGUUUAGGCCAAGACCCUUUUUGAUCCAAAACUGUAAGCGUUUUUCAGUAGUUUCAAGUGAUGUUUUACUGGGCUUAUUGAAGCAACAACAAGCCACAGAAGGUCUUCGGCAUUCCCAGUCUGAAAGUUCCUUUUGCACAAUGAGAGAGCAGUGUGGAUUUGUCUAAGAUUGACACGUGAAACAGACCAGUUUUGGCAGAGAUACAGAACUUAGCAAAUUAAGCUCUGUUGUUCCAGCUGUCAGGGUGCUUGCUUUUAGCUGCUUUGCCUGCAAGCAGUCUCAUGCUGUUCUCAGUGUAAGCAGGCCCCCGUUCAGUCUCCUCCUGUAAGAAAAAAAUGAUCCAGAGACUGAAACUGUUGUUUCUGCAGCUUAUGUUAGCCUUUAGGUGUACCAGGCUUCUCUAUUCCCUCAGGUCUUGGUGCUAUCAAAAAAAAACCCAAACCCAUCCCGCAAAUAUUUGCUUCUUUCUGCUGGAAAAAGCUUCCAUGUGUGCCCUGCAGUCCCAUCUCCCUCUUUUAUGGUUGUAUCACAGCUGUAGCUCAGAAAACCAGUAGCAUCAGCUUCUGCCGCACUGACAGGCGGGGCUGGGGGAGGAGGAUUUGGUGCUAGUUAGGAACAUGGAGUUUUGAUUGAUCAUGGAUUUGGUUGUUCUGCAGACUCUUUUGUGAAUAGCCAAAAGUUUUAAAAAAGCAAUUAGUAAUUGAUUUUAAAAAAUAUUAAUAAUAUACAUAUAAUAUUAAUAAUAUACAUCUUUUUCUUAGUAAUUCACUGAGUGAAAAUUAAUCACUUAGAGCCUCAACUUUUUGUAAAAUUAAAAUUUAUUUCUUUAAAAUUUCAUUAAAAUUGAUUUCUUAGGGAAAACUCAACUGUUAGACUGCUAGUAAAAAGUGUAAAUUUAAAAUAUGAACAUAGUACCUUUUUGGAAGGAACAUAAAAAGUGCAUGGGCCAGAAAAAAACAAAAACAGCAACAACAAAAAGCCAUGCAGACAAGUUCAUGUGAAUUAACUGCAGAACUGUGAAAUGCUAACGGUGAUAAUGCUGAACCCUGCCUAAAUCUCUUCAUUCCAGAGGUUUACUAUCAUAAAUGACAGAGAUCUAGACUCCAACAAUCUAUAGCAGAGAGGAAACCCCUUCAGAAAGUCCUAGCAGGAACACAACUAACAUUGCCUGAGGAAUAUUUUGAUUCCUAGCUGUAUUGUCUUGUUUUCAUCAUCAAAAUACGAUAACAUCACCAGCAAUUAGAAUGUAUAAGGAAC